rnacentral:rRNA from 1 species
UGGAUGCGAUCAUACCAGCACUACA